GCAUGCAUAAUACAUGCAAGUCGAACGAAAAAGGUCUUCGGGCCUUUUUAGUGGCAAACGGGCGAGUAACACAUAUUUAACUUGCUCAUCCGAGGAGAAUAGCAGCCCGAAAGGGCUAUUAAUACGCCAUAGUUUUAAAUUAGUGAAUUAAUUUAAAUUAAAGGAGGCUGCCGAAAGGUGGCCUCGCGGAUGAAUAGGAAUAUGUCCUAUUAGGUCGUUGGAGAGGUAAUGGCUCACCAAGCCGAUGAUGGGUAGCUGGACUGAGAGGUUGAACAGCCGCAAUGGGAUUGAGAAAUGGCCCAUAUUCCUACGGGAAGCAGCAGUGAGGAAUUUUUCACAAUGGACGAAAGUCUGAUGGAGCAAUACCACGUGAACGAUGAAGGUCUUCUGAUUGUAAAGUUCUUUUAUUUAGGAAAAAAAGCGCGGCAGGAAAUGGCCGCGCCUUGAUUGUACUAAUUGAAUAAGUGACAGCUAACUAUGUGCCAGCAGCUGCGGUAAAACAUAGGUCACGAGCAUUAUCCGGAUUUAUUGGGCGUAAAGGAAGCGUAGGCUGAAAUGUGUAUUCAUUGUUAAAAAUAUUUGCUUAACAAGUGUUCGCGGUGAAGAUUACAUUUCUAGAAUUAGUUAGAGGGUACUGGAAUUCAAUGUGUAGUGGUGGAAUACGUAGAUAUAUUGAGGAACACCAGAGGCUAAGGCGAGUGCCUGGAACAUAAUUGACGCUGAGGCUUGAAAGCGUGGGUAGCAAAUGGGAUUAGAUACCCCAGUAGUCCACGCCGUAAACGAUGGGUAUUAGUCAUUUGGAUUUAAGACUGAGUGAUGUAGCUAACGCGUUAAAUACCCCGCCUGGGUAGUAUAUAUGCAAAUAUGAAACUCAAAGAAAUUGACGGGGACCUGAACAAGUGGUG
rnacentral:rRNA from 1 species